rnacentral:lncRNA from 1 species
GCUUUAAUAAUAAUAUUUCAUCCUACAUGUUCUUUUUCAGCGUGAAUUGACUUUGCUCCGUCGGAAAGGAGGUCAGUGUUCUCUCCCCUUGAACCUUAACAGAUUUUAUGAACAGUCUCAAUCACCAGAACACCGUGAGUGUACAGGAACUGAAACUCCCACCUGACUCUUGGAUGGCUCACAUUAGGGAAGCCAUGGUGAUACAUUUAGGCCCACAGAGAAGCACUGAUGCCUCCAGCCAAGAGCCAGCACCAUAUUUCCAGAGGCUGAGAGAAGGCUGCCAUCCCAACCAGCGUACUUAGCUAUAAGGACCAGUUCUUUCACUGAAAAGACAUAAAAAUAGUGAGCAGUCUGUGAAACACUAGCCUCUGAGAAUCUAUUAAAAACUCCAGCAGUAUUCUCUA